UUAGUUGCCAUCAUUCAGUUGGCACUCUAGCGAGACUGCCGGUAAUAAACCGGAGGAAGGUGGGGAUGACGUCAAAUCAUCAUGCCCCUUAUGACCUGGGCUACACACGUGCUACAAUGGUUGGUACAACGAGUUGCGAGUCGGUGACGGCGAGCUAAUCUCUUAAAGCCAAUCUCAGUUCGGAUUGUAGGCUGCAACUCGCCUACAUGAAGUCGGAAUCGCUAGUAAUCGCGGAUCAGCACGCCGCGGUGAAUACGUUCCCGGGCCUU
rnacentral:rRNA from 1 species